GUCUUUGCUAUGUCCCUCUUCUGCUCCCCAGUGGCUUCAGGCUUGCUUCUGCUACCACUACCUAUGUCUCUCCUUUUCAUCAGAUUCCAUCAGCAACAUCAAGGCUGCCCACCACCUUCGUCCUGAAAGCACCAUGUGCUUUUCCACAGCAUCAUUGUGCAUGAAUGGAACUUCAGAUUUACUGGAAGCUACACUUCACAACCUUCUCUCAGGCAAAGUGAGGUCAAGUGCAGCCAAAAGACACACCUGUAAUACCCC
rnacentral:lncRNA from 1 species